CCAUGAGGUAUUAAAGUAAACAUCCACAACUCUCGAAAUCCUGCAAGAUAGAAUGAUUUUGAAUCAGUGAUUAGGUCUUAUCUGACCAAUUCUUGGAAACUACUAGUUUUAGCAGUAUUUUGGAGAAUCUAAAGCCUUAGCUUGUGUAUGGUCCAAAUAUCACCGAGCACCCGAGUAUAAAUGAGCCUUACAACUCCCUAACGGAAACUUAAUGACCUCAACUUAAAUUGCAUCUUGACCUAGGAUUUGGGCUGACUUAGUAAUUAAAACUUUGUGUGCUUUUGAAGUUAUUGGCACUUAUGCAUUUGAAAUUAGAUUUUACAAUAAAAUAAAUUCUUUAGACAGCAGUUUGUGGGUAUUUGAGCCGGAAACCCUCACGAGACAAAACUCGUCCACUAGGGCCACCUAGGGGUUUAAAGCCUUAUUGCAUACGGUAAAUGCAAUCGCGAUUCCUGCAAAGUGAGUUAGUUUUCUUUAUUUUGCUCGAGAACUAGCAAAAUAUAGGUUGGAGGGUGUGAUAAGUACUAAAUAAUGUAUAUAUUUAACUAUUUUACACAGCACUUAUCAUUAUUUUUUUUGCACAUAUUUUAAAUUUAACAUAAGAAAAUGUGUUCCCCUUCAUCAUUGCAUUAUUAAAAAUAAUUCGAUUUUGCUUGAUUUUAUUGGUCCAUCUAAUGUAUGCAGGUCGAAUCAAAUUCAUCUGGGAUGACCCCUGAACCCAAAUCGCAUGCACCCCAUGAAUCGGAUCUUCCCAACCAAUUAGAGUCGACCCCAAUUUUCAUUUCUCAGCACGUGCCAUCCCAAAUAAUUUAUUUUCAUGAAUC
rnacentral:lncRNA from 1 species